GUACUUGCUUCGACAGCACAUACACUAAAAAUUGGAAUGAUACAGAGAUUAGCAUGACCCCUGCACAAGGAUGACACACAAAUUCGUGAAGCAUUCCAUAUUUUU
rnacentral:snRNA from 1 species